AGCUCAGCUGGUAGAGCAACUCCAUGGUAAGGAGUAGGUCGCCGGUUCGAGUCCGGC
rnacentral:tRNA from 1 species